CAGUCGCCGCGGGAAUACAGAGGGUGCGAGCGUUAAUCGGAUUUACUGGGCGUAAAGCGUGCGUAGGCGGCUUUUUAAGUCGGAUGUGAAAUCCCUGAGCUUAACUUAGGAAUUGCAUUCGAUACUGGGAAGCUAGAGUAUGGGAGAGGAUGGUAGAAUUCCAGGUGUAGCGGUGAAAUGAGUAGAGAUCUGGAGGAAUACCGAUGGCGAAGGCAGCCAUCUGGCCUAAUACUGACGCUGAGGUACGAAAGCAUGGGGAGCAAACAGGAUUAGAUACCCCCGUAGUCCCUGUCUCUUAUAC
rnacentral:rRNA from 1 species